rnacentral:rRNA from 1 species
UACAGAGGGUGCGAGCGUUGUUCGGAAUUACUGGGCGUAAAGGGCGCGUAGGCGGCCUUCUAAGUCAGACGUGAAAUCCCUCGGCUCAACCGAGGAACUGCGUCUGAUACUGGAAGGCUUGAAUCCGGGAGAGGGAUGUGGAAUUCCAGGUGUAGCGGUGAAAUGCGUAGAUAUCUGGAGGAACACCGGUGGCGAAGGCGGCAUCCUGGACCGGUAUUGACGCUGAGGCGCGAAAGCUAGGGGAGCAAACGGG